UUCUUCAGGGCAGGGUGUAAUUCCCGACCGGCGGUAAAGUCCGCGAGCAUUUGCAGAAUCGGUGAGCCUCGGCAAUUCCGAUACCGACAGUAAAGUCUGGAUGAAAGAAGAA
rnacentral:ncRNA from 1 species